UCUGCUAUCACUGUGUUACGUUACUUAAUAGUAUGCCUCCGCUAUUACGUUGUUACGCUAUUUCGUACUAUGUCUCCUCUAUUACUGUGUUACGUUACUUUGGAGUCUAAAUCAAAGGGAUUUCUCACUUGUAGUGUAAAAAAUACCCUUGGUCAAAUAAGAUCUGGAGAUACAACUACAAGUUCAUCACUUGAAACUAGCAUGAGUCAGUCAUCAAGUAUCAACCCAUCUACAUCUGAAAAUUUAGAUGAAAAUUCUAGUCAAAUACAAACAAAUCUAGAGUUUAUAACUAGUCCUGAAAAUUCAGAGUCUACAACUCAAAAUUCAGUCAACAUAAGCGAUAGGUUAGGUCAAAAUUCUACCACCAACACUUCGAAUAAAUCUAGUACUAUUCCUGAAAACGAUAAUGCAAUAAUAAUGAAUAGAAACAUCAAUAUAAAGAACCCAAGAAGAUCAGAAAGAGUAAGGAUUACUUUCACUAAAUAUGAUAAUGAUUAUGAUUGCAAUAUUGCUUAUGAUACUAAUAGUUGUUGUGAGCCUAAGUCUUUUACAGAAGCUAUGAAACAUGAAUGUUGGAGGAAGGCCAUGAACGAAGAGAUGGAGGCAAUUAAAAACAACAACAUAUGGAGUUUAGUUCCUAGAAGUGAAGGAAUGAAUAUUAUAGGUUCAAGAUGAGUGUAUAAGGCGAAAACUAAUUCAGAUGGUUCUAUCCAAAGGUACAAGGCAAUGUUGGUUGCACAAGGGUACAACCAAGAAGAAGGUGUAGAUUACAGUUACACAUAUAGUCCAGUUAUUAAAAUGUCAACAGUCAGAACAACACUAUCUUUGGCAGUGACAAAUAAAUGGUGUUUAAGGCAACUUGAUGUCAAGAAUGCUUUCUUGAAUGGUGAGUUACAGGAAACAAUUUAUAUGAGACAGCCUAAGGGAUUCAAAGAUAAAGAAAGACCGGAGGAUGUUUGUUUAUUAAACAAGGCACUCUAUGGACUAAAGCAAGCAUCAAGAGCAUGGUAUCUCAAACUUCAACAAAAAUUGAUUGAGAUUGGGUUUAAAAAUUCAGUAAUUGAUGCAUCCUUAUUCAUCAAGAAAAGUGAGGAGUCUACCAUAUUAAUACUGGUUUAUGUGGAUAUAUGACAUUGUCAUCACGGGGAACUGUUUAGAAGAUGUUGAAGAUUUCAUUAAAAAAAUAUGUAAUGCUUUCUCAUGCAGGGAUAUGGGGAAGUUAAGCUAUUUUGUGGGACUAGAAUGCAUUUACAGUGGAGACACAAUAGUUCUCUCACAGGAGAAGUAUGUUAAUGAAAUAUUGAAGAAAUUUGGGUUUGAUAAAGCAAAACCAGCAACCACACCCAGGCUAUUGUCAUUAAAAAUUCACACUGAUAUGGGAGAAAAAUUAGAUGAUAUAACUCACUAUAGAAGUAUUGUGGGAUCACUUCAAUAUACGACAUUGACUAGGCCUGAUUUGUCUUUUGCAGUAAAUCAAGUAUGCCAAUAUCUUCAUAAUCCAAGAGUUGGGCACCUUAAUGCAGUUAAAAGAAUAUUGAGGUACCUUAGGGGUACAUCAAGUUGGGGACUGAGAAUUACAUGGAAUAUGGACAGUGUAAAAACCUUGGUAGCUUACAGUGAUUCUGAUUGGGGAGGUACAGAAGAUAGAAGUUCCAUUACAGGAUCAAAUAUAUGGUACAUGGGAAAUGUGUUGACAUGGUCAGCAAGAAAACAACCUACAGUAUCAAUCUCAACAGCAGAGGCAGAAUUCAAAGCAUUAACUCAUGUGACUUCUGAACUCAGAUGGUUUUGUUUUUUAUUUAGGGAACUGGAUAUAAAAUUGGAUAGACCCCCAUCAUAUUAUGCGACAACAAAUCAGCUAUUUUUAUGAGUAAAAAUCCUACUAUUACAUCAGGAUCAAGACGUAUUGAAAUGAGAUACUACUUUGUUAGAGAAUUGAUAAAUAAAAAGGCGUUGGUCAUCGAACACAUACCUUCCUAUCUACAAUAUGCAGAUGGGUUCACGAAGACUUUGGGGACUAAUGAUUUUCGUCGACACAGAGAGCGACAUAAGAUGGUUCCGGUUCCGCUAAGCGAAUGUUCAAUCUUGCCAAGUUCAGUCCUGUCAAGUCGAUCUGAGUUCGAGCCAAGUGAUACAUUGGUCGCCACCACCGCCGAAUCUGUUUUCAAAUCUCUUGGUCAAUAGCCCAAUCGAUUUGAGGGAGGAUGUGAAAUACUCUCAUAUAUAUUAUUAAAAUAGUAAAGAGAUGGAUCGACCAGCAAAAGAUAUGAAGAAAACGAUGGUGAAUCGGUGAUAUGUGAAAUACUCUCAUAUAUAUUAUUAAAAUAUUAAAGAGAUGGAUCGAUCAGCAAGAGAUAUGAAGAAAAUGAAGAAACGAUGGUGAUGUGAAGAAGACAAGUCAUAAAAUCAUAAACAGAAAUGGGUUGAUCGGAAUGUUGAUCAACAAGUCCUCUUCCGGAUGUGAAAUAUUCUCAUAUACAUAUAUUAUUAAAAUAUUAAAGAGCCUCGCCGUUUAUUUCUUCCAGCACACGGGUUUUUGCAACAUCAGAUGCCUAUGUUUCCAAGCUGUUGAAGAAAAUCCAGCAGGUCCAUUCGCAUCACUACGUCAAGGAGCAAAAUCUAUACUCUAAAAUUACUGCCGUCUGCAUACUCCCUAAACCCUAACGGUAAUUGUCUGAACACCAUUUAUAAAGAAAC
rnacentral:lncRNA from 1 species